rnacentral:rRNA from 1 species
GUCAACGCUGGCGGUAGGCCUAACACCUGCAAGUCGAACGGCAGCACAGUAAGAGCUUGCUCUUACGGGUGGCGAGUGGCGGACGGGUGAGGAAUACAUCGGAAUCUACUUUUUCGUGGGGGAUAACGUAGGGAAACUUACGCUAAUACCGCAUACGACCUACGGGUGAAAGCAGGGGAUCUUCGGACCUUGCGCGAUUGAAUGAGCCGAUGUCGGAUUAGCUAGUUGGCGGGGUAAAGGCCCACCAAGGCGACGAUCCGUAGCUGGUCUGAGAGGAUGAUCAGCCACACUGGAACUGAGACACGGUCCAGACUCCUACGGGAGGCAGCAGUGGGGAAUAUUGGACAAUGGGCGCAAGCCUGAUCCAGCCAUACCGCGUGGGUGAAGAAGGCCUUCGGGUUGUAAAGCCCUUUUGUUGGGAAAGAAAAGCAGCAGGUUAAUACCCCGCUGUUCUGACGGUACCCAAAGAAUAAGCACCGGCUAACUUCGUG